rnacentral:rRNA from 1 species
GUACUCUGACCGUGCGAAGGUAGCAUAAUCACUUGUUCUUUAAAUGGGGACUCGUAUCAAUGGCAUCACGAGGGCCAUACUGUCUCCUUUUUCCAAUCAGUGAAACUGAUCUCCCCGUGAAGAAGCGGGGAUUAUCCUAUAAGACGAGAAGACCCCAUGGAGCUUUAAACCCAACAGCAACUCUAAUAAUAAACCACAAAAUUAAUGAGCCCUGUUGUUGGUUUUAGGUUGGGGUGACCGCGGAGCAUAAACUAACCUCCACGACGAACGGGACUAAACCCUAAUCCAAGAACUACUAUUCUAAGAAUCAGUACACUGACUUCUAAUGAUCCGACACUCGAUCAACGGACCAAGUUACCCUGGGGAUAACAGCGCUAUCCAUUUCGAGAGCUCCUAUCGACAAAUGGGUUUACGACCUCGAUGUUGGAUCAGGGUAUCCUAGUGGUGCAGCCGCUACUAAAGGUUUGUUUGUUCAACAAUUAAACCCUACGUGA